rfam:Rattus norvegicus chromosome 18, whole genome shotgun sequence.
GGGGAUUUAGCUCAGUGGUAGAGCGUUUGCCUAGCAAGCGCAAGGCCCUGGGUUCGGUCCCCAGCUCG